CUUACAGCUGGAAUUCGGCACAGGCGCAGUGUGAGGCCACGCCCCUUCUGCUCGCCCACCCCCAGCUCCGCGCCUGCGCGGUUGAGUAAAACAUUAUUGUGGCUGCACCUUCAUUUCUGGCCUUUCCUGGACACUUGGCCUGCAGGACCUCAGGGGCACACUAAUAUGAACAGGGGAAAGAAGACGUAACAGACCUCAGUGCUCAUGGCCUUGUGGUGGAGACAGACACACAGCAAGCUCAAGGCACAGCCAUAGGGAAGGAUACUGCAGAAGCCUAGGAAGGAGAAAAUUCCAAGGAGGAAAUGAUUGGGAGUAAUUUGUAUUCACACAGGAAAUGAUGGCGUCCUGCAGCACUCCAAGGAAAGGGAAGCCAGAGGCAGCUGGCUGCCCCGAGAGCUGCCUGAAGGCCUCUGUCCCUGACCAGCACACCUCAAGCUCAUUCAAGGUACCCGGCUUAUUUCAACAUUUCAUUUCCCGACUGAGGAAAUUGAGGCUCAUGGGUGUUUUGUUUUGUUUUCAGAAACUCUAUUUGCAUGACCUACAAGUAAUAGUAUUAUUGUGCGUGGUCUGUUUCCCUUUCUUUUAUUGUGAAAGUUGUAAUUACUUUUCCCCUUACAGUAAACAUGAUUUCUGUUUAACUCAUGAUGCAUUUGUCUUGGUGCUUCUGUCGGAUUUCCUUUUGAAGAUCCUAUUGUUCCAGCCAUUUGUGCUUCUAUGCCUUCACAGGUUUUUCCUUUUCUGAUGAAAUUUUAAAAUAUUUCCAAUAUGGUAAGAUACAAUAUUUCCUAUGACUGCUUUAAUGUGUUGUUGUAUUUUAUAAGUUGAUCUCUUCAAGCGUUUGGGAUUGAGUUAUUGUUCCUUUAUUUUCUAGAGCUUCCAUUGUUUUUAUAUGUAUGUUGAAAUUUUUGGUCCAUUUUGUCUCUACUAAUGUUCAUUAUGCUAUCAAUACGUCCCUCCAUCUAUGCCAGGCUGGGGUAUUUGGCUAAUUAAAACUAUUUAGGCACAGUAUAACAUAUAGAGAUGUCGAACUACUCACUGUGUCAUAGACUUGAAACUAA